AAGGGACGUAUCGCCGGUUUGAGACGUAUAAAAUGUGCUAUAAAGUGUGUUUUUUUGUGUUUUGUUAUUAAAUUAUUGUGUGUUUUUCUUGUUUAAUAAUCUAUUCAACAAUAGUGAAGAUUAUCAUUUAAUAAUGAGGAUGACUUGGGAUUUUUCAUGUGAUGGAUUUGCAGCUAUGACGUCAUCGAACUAUUCUACGACGCCAUUCGAAAUAUUUUCCAUAAAUCAGUUUUCUAUGCGAUUUCGAUUAUCGAAUCAUACGAUGUCAGCCAAUCAGAAGACUCCUAAGAAAAUUUGGCGGGCGGGGGUCAGUUUUCUGUGGAAAGUGCUAGUGAGUGGACGUGUCGUCGCAGCCGGCUUCGAAAAUUCUACUGCGCAGGAUUUGAGAGUUCGCGUUUUUUAUUACGCUCGACAUAUUUCGACAUGCUUCGACAGGUUUCGACAGGUUUAGACUUGCUGCGCGCGCAUACACCCCCUUCACUCCACCUCCACUAAUUCGUUAAUCGUAAUAUUCGACGGUUAGGAUUUCAGUUAAAAUUUUAAUUAUCUGAUUUAUUAGCUGAUCACUGGUAAUUUGAAAGGGGGAAAAAAUUUCAAUAUGGAUGCCAACAUACUUUUUCAAGAAAUUUGAUGUUUCAUUUACUACAUACUGUAUGUAUUCUGUUUUCUUCAUUUAUUCUAUUUUUAUUCAAUAGUUUUUAUGGUAUAAUUUAAUAUUUCAAGAUAUAUAAUAAAUAUUUAUAAUGAACAUUCAUUAUAAAUAUUAAUAAUUUUGUAUUAAUAAUAUAUAUUUUAUU